GCCCGAGUAGCUCAGUGGAUAGAGCAGUAGCCUUCUAAGCUAUUGGUCACAGGUUCGAUUCCUGUCUCGGGUACCA
rnacentral:tRNA from 1 species